rnacentral:rRNA from 1 species
CGAUAGCUUGCUAUUGCGGAUGGCGACCGGCGCACGGGUGCGUAACGCGUAUCGAACCUGCCUCAUACUCGGGGAUAGCCUUGCGAAAGUAAGAUUAAUACCCGGCGGUCUCGGACGGCCGCAUGACUGUCCGAGUGAAGAUUUAUCGGUAUGAGAUGGCGAUGCGUCCCAUUAGCUAGUUGGUGAGGUAACGGCUCACCAAGGCAUCGAUGGGUAGGGGUUCUGAGAGGAAGGUCCCCACAUUGGAACUGAGACACGGUCCAAACUCC